ensembl:lncRNA
CCAGGUUAGGGCAGCAGGGCACUGCCGUUGCAGUCAAACAUUAUCCUAUGGAAUGGGUGCUGUGGAGGGGCAAUUUUGUAAAUGAGGAGGCUAUUGUUCUCAGAGACGGGGCAGAGGGAUCCUGUGACAGAGAUCAAUAGGGAUCACUGAAGAUGUUGCAUCAGUGUCCAGUAACAAGAACAGAGGGAAUUUAAUAGAAAGAACUGUUAGGUCUAAAGUUGCUAACUGGGUAACUGAAGGGUCACAGGAGACCUCUCAGGCCUCAGGAGCAGACGUAGCAACUGCAGGACGCAGCCACCAUUCCUCAGGCUGAGGGAGCAAAGGGAAAGGUAGAAACACAAGGGAAGCCCUGAGCAGCUGAACCUCAGACUUGUGAAGAGGGAGAGCCCGGGCGCCGGGACCCAGACUUCUGAGCAGGGGUGCCAGCCGGCUGUUGACAGUGUCUCCUGGGGGGCGGGCUGGGGAGAGAGAUCCUGCGAGAGCUGGAAAAGCUGCGAACUGGAUUCAGCUGCUGCUUCAGCAGGGCGCUGCCCGCGGCCAGGGUGAGGAACAGUUGUUGGGAUGGUGCUCACAGAAACAGGAAGCCCACAGGAAGCCGCCGGGGAACAAACAGGAAAGAGCGAGCCGGCUCCCUCCUCCACCGGCGGUCUCCUUCCAGCGCCCUGUCGGCAGAGCCUCCCACAGAGGCCACUGCAGAGCGGAAAUGAGCCCGCGGGAUCCCAGCUCCAGCCCCUCAGGGCCAGCGACUUCCUGACGGACCCAGGCGUCCUGUUUCAGGUGUUCUGCUUGGUGCUGUGGACUCCUGGAGGUCAGGGACAGCCGUGAUCUCUCUGUGACCUUCUCAGGGACUGGCAUCCUUCCCGGGCAGAGCAGGCCCUAGUAAGUCUGUGUUAUGCUGAGAUGAGCUGCAUAGCUGGAGCACAGGACAGGCGUGUCCUGGGCCAAUCCGCAGCGCUCCCUGCCCAGCCUUCAGAGUCCCUGUCUAUCUUCCCAGCGGGUAUGAUUCCAGGCUCUCCCUGGGGCACUGCGUGGGGCCAGGGAGCGGGUGUUGAACACCGACUGUGAACAAGGCUCUGCCCAGCCUGGUUGAGGUGCCCCAAUUCCCUUGUCAUCCUGACCCACUUUCUGAGAAAUUCCACAGGAGGGUCCCAGCGCCACCACUGAUAAGCUGUGUGGCUUUGGGAGGGGUAGUGGACUAUUCUGAGCCUCCGUUUCCCCAGAAUGCCCGCUUUGGUCCCUUAAUGUCUUCCCCAAGAGACAAGAAGAGACUCUUGGUCCUCUCCGUCCCAUGUCCAUCUCUCUCCCCCAUCUCCUCCUCCUUAGAGGGGUGAAAAUUUAGCUUCAUAGUUCGGCUUUGAAAGGCGGUCAGUAUUAGUAAGAUGGAGACCAGUUUAGUGCAGAGGAACGUAAAGAUCCAGGCCAACUGGGACUUGCUGGGCAGAGUUCAAGGGGCAGCCGCAGGAUGCAGCAUGGCGCACUCUGUGGAGAGGGGGAGCAGAGGUGGCGCGAAGGCGAGGAAGCAGGUUCUGGUGGCUGCCAGCAUUCCUUGGCUUGUGGCUCCGUCACUCCAGUCUUCAAGGCUGGCGUCUUCAAAUCUCUCCCCGUGAUCUGUCUUCACCGGACCUUCUCCUGUGCGUGAAGUUCUUCCUGGAGAAAUUGGUUUGAGCGGGAGAAGCAGGUGGGAGAAGGAGAAGCCAAGCAGUGUGAAAUCUGAAGCCCCAGCCUCAGGCUUCUCCCCCAGGGAGCUUGAAAGAGAAAAGUCCCUGAUGGGAUCAAAUCUCACAGAAUUGCCUUGGCUUUUCUUGGUGGGAUAUGUGAGACGGAGCCUAGAAAUCCUGCAGCCAUUUUGCUCCCAGAGGGAAACCAGCCUUAGUGUGAAGCUGAUAUUAUGAAAGAGAGAGCAGAGAUGGGACAAUACGGGAUCCUUGCUGAUGUUGUCACUGAAUCAACCCACUCUGAUCCUGCCUCUGAAAUUUCUGUUUAUCUGAGCUAAUAAAUCGACUUUAUUGUUAACCAAUUUGAGUUGAUUUUUCAAUAAAUUUAACCAAAUUUUUCUAACUG